rnacentral:misc_RNA from 1 species
AUUAAGUUACAAAUCAAGGUAAGAUAACAAACUGCGAUUAAAGUUGUCCAAACAAAUAUAAAAUAUAAAGUUAUUAUUUGGAUGUAAACAAAGUGUAUACAAAAUAACGCUGUAUAAUCUUGGUGUAGUGUUAUUUUCACAAUGUGGAAUUUAAAGCUUAAAUCAACGUACAGGAACUUUAUCUUUUAAUAUUUCUUUAAACAAUAUUCUUUCGGAAAAAAAAACAACAAACAAACAAUAUACUGGCUUUCUUGCUAACAAAUCGAAAAACAAAUAUAUUUGGCUUCAACUGGACUGCACUUACGGAUUAUAACGCAUUGCAAAUACUUACAUGUAUAUGUGGAUCAUUCCUAGAACAAAGACGUUUGAUGCAUCGUCUGUUAUUGUCCAUACGUUUCACGGACAGAACACUAAAACACAUUCCUCUUAGUCAAAGAAUCAACUGAUGAUUUUAACUUCUGUAAUUCUGCAAGAGAAACUCGACUUACAGUGUUGUUCGUAUGUUGUGUUGAAAGAAGGCAUCUUCUUCAUUGUAGAAUGCUGCACAACACUUGACAUGUAUUAUUUGCUUGGACUUUUAUAUAUGUUCAUACUACCAUGGUACCAUACCGCAACAGAACCUGCAGUUAUAUAUUCAGGAAACAGUGUCUGCAAUCAAACAGUCGUCCUAGGAUCAAGUCUGUUUUCAGCUCUAGUAGAUUUCUCACUGGCAUCCAGAUCGCCUGAGACAAACUCAACUUUCUCGUGCAAUUUUAGGGUAGAGACAGUUACAAGUUCGCUGAUUGCCAUCAAAUUUUUAUUACCUUUGUACAGCUCACAGGUAUUCGACCAUUAUGGAUGCAGAACCAAAAUGAUCAUUACGUCAGAUGAGUUAAACAUUAAACACUGUAAUUCCAUUCCACAAACUGAAUUAUCAAGCCACGAGUAUGUCGAUGUACGAUAUGAAAUUCAAGGAAUCAUACCUGCACACAAAACCAAUUACCGUUUUAAGAUGUUAUUAUUCACCUAUAGUUUUCUUAACCGUGCUGGCACUUGUUAAGUCAAUGAAACGUUAUGUAUCGGAACGAGGAGAUGCAUUUACGGACCACUAAAAUGUUCAAGAAUAUAUGAUUAUUGUAAUAACAAUAUGAAAAACUGUCCGUACCAAAGUUCGAGAAGGCGACCGGCAUCUUUCAGUGGAGUAUACAUAUUUAUAUCGUGUUUAAUUUUUCUUCUUGGAGUGACAAUCUACAUGUGUUUCUGCCGUGGAAUACACUUCUUUGAAUGCAUAUGUCAUUGCUGUUCAGCACUAGAGACAACAGGAAGCCAACGUGUUAGACAGGACGACCAAGAGAACGAUUUAACACGAACCGGAAAUGAAAAUAGAGAAGGCGAUAAUGUGAUUGUUACAACUGAAAAUGAUGUGACCGAUAAUGAAAAUGAAAACGAAACCGAAAAUGCGUCUGAAAAUGAAAACGAAACCGAAAAUGCUUCUGAAAAUGACUCUAUUAAUAGCGGUAUUUUUGGUCUGCCACCAAGUUACUCGUACAUUGAAAGAAAUGCUCCAGAACCAAACUUAAGUGACAGUGAGACUUACAUAUGUAGUGCAUCGGAGCAGCCUGGCCCUGGUAUUUCCAAAUGUUCAGCAGAAUUGCCCCCAUCUUACUCAACAGUUCUUGGUCACGAAGAAGAAUACAACGUACAUAUAAUUUAGGAAUAUUGUAAAGAGCAUUAUAACUGCUAGAUUUAGUUGGAUGAGAUUUUUUUUAUUUAUAAAGCGUUUUUCAGGCACACUCUAAGAUAUACCGGUACAUUUUCCAAACGAAAGAGAAGAAUAUAUAGAAUAUAUAUAUGAUCUUCAGGAUUGUAUUCAGUAUUUCCAGGACACUAACUUCUACUUAAAAUAAAAUACAGUGGCCAUGUAUUUAUUUCAGUGUCGGUUUUGUUAGAAUCACUGUUUGUAUGUUUUGGUAUGUAUUAAACUGUAGACUACAUUCAUUUCAUGGUUGCAAUUGAAAAAUAUCCAAAUAUUUUAUCUUUACAUAUUCAAUUCAAAUGUAUUGUAUGAAAUCCUCAUAAGAUAUUUAUAACUUUACUGAAUAUGUAAAUCAAGUUUGCAUACAUAAUAAAAAGUCAUG